rfam:Myotis lucifugus cont2.30718, whole genome shotgun sequence.
GCCAGUGUGGCUCAGUGUUAGAGCAUCGGCCCUCGCACCGAAGGGUCAUGGGUUCCAUUCCCAGUCAAGGGCA